rnacentral:rRNA from 1 species
UACGUAGGUGGCAAGCGUUGUCCGGAUUUACUGGGCGUAAAGAGCGCGCAGGCGGUCGUUCAAGUCGAGUGUGAAAGCCCCCGGCUCAACUGGGGAGGGUCACUCGAUACUGAUCGACUCGAAGGCAGAAGAGGGAAGCGGAAUUCCCCGGUGUAGUGGUGAAAUGCGUAGAUAUCGGGAGGAACACCAGUGGCGAAGGCGGCUUUCUGGUCUGCUCUUGACGCUGAGGCGCGAAAGCUAGGGGAGCAAACGGG